UAGGUAGUGUAUUUCCAAGCAAGUAUCUGACGAUAUUGAAGCUCUACUGGUUGUCUGCUACUCCCACCAACAAUAUUGCACAGGCGGAAAACGUAUAAUUUUCUAUCUUAAGAAAAUAUAAAAA
rnacentral:lncRNA from 1 species